CGAGAGAAUGCACAACUGCAGAGAGGCACAGAGAGAGAGAAAACAUGGGAUUAUACUUUCCAUAUAACACAAGGCACAGGAUAAACGGAGGUUACAGAGCAGCACACUGAAGAAACUGAGUCAGAAAGGGUUCCUUCUUCCAACUACUUCUGGAUGAUGUUGAUUGCUGCAUUGUCACAAAUUUGAAAGGUGCUAAACAUGCACAAAUACGCAAAAAAUUCUGGUAUUACCUCCCAAAGCAAAACAAACAAAAACCCCAAGCAGCAAUAAGAACACCUUUGGGUAGACACUGCGGCUUCUGUGGCUUUCAUCUCUUUGCCACUAGAUUUAAAAAACAAAUAUAAGCCCAAAGGCUAAAUCAAGGAACACUCCUGAUGUUUACUCUUGAUUAGCUCAAUAUUCCAAGUUCCUUUGUCUCACUGAAGCUUAAUUCUCACAGCUGUGUAUUUGGCUACAGCAAUUAUCCACCAAAACCAUGAAGCAAAGGACUGUCCAACAGGGAAAGAAAACAAUAUGUAGUUCUUAAAAGACACAAACAGAGUUUGCAGAUCUCCAUCAGCAAAGAAAACAUACAAUACAGAUUCACCCAUAAAGUUCAGAACAGGAAAGGCUCCGUACAUUUAAUAAGUAGCAAGAAGUAACAAGAUACCUUAUUUUACACUAACAACUUCUCAGCUGUCCCAUCUAUUCAGUUUAUUCAAUAUUUAUGGCAUUUCUGUGGGCAUUCAUGUGACAGAAGUAAAAAGAUUUGAUAUUACAGGACAGGGGUUAAACCAAACAUUAAGGAAAUACUCUGUCAGUUAUUCAGUACUGGAACCAAACUUCCCUAAAUCAAGUGUUCAGCAAUGGCCUAACAAGUUGUCACUGGUUUUCACAUUUGGUGACACCAAACAACGUAUACCAGCCAAACUACAAACACAGUAAAACACAACAACGAAAACACACAAAAAAAAUCUUAGCUUCCAUAGUAGUUUGUUUUUAAACACCGUGUCAGUCAUUCACACGAGAGGAUUCUCAGAAAACUGAGGACUGCAUGAUACCAAUCACAUCAUACAGAAUGCACCCACAAGGUGUCUUUAUAAGUCUCCAGCAUUCCCUUCCAAAACCCUGCUUUCCUCCUCCUGUCUACAGCCACAACACAUACAGACAUUGUUUGCAAGGACUGUGCUCUGAUCUGACAGCAGAGUACUGAAGAACUAUUAACUGCAUGUUGACAGCACAAUUCUUCUUGUGUACACUUUCAUUUUAAGAAAAGUGCUCACGUUCAAAAGAUACAAAAACUAAUUUUUAAUCCUGCAAAGAAUAAGUAUGCUAUAUAUGAACAUUGCAAAUCCUGAAAAAUAAAAAUAGACAGAGCUCCACAGGUCAUCAUUAUGGACCAAAACAACAAAUAUCUAAGCAUUAGACAGCUCCAAUUUCACUGCACAGGAACUGCCCGCUGUAAGAAGCUCCAGUGCAGGUAGGUGCUCUGUGGAGGACUAGUGACAUCUGGUGGCCUUCUGGGACAAACUAGCAACUUCCUGAGAGUUACAAUAUCCCUGCUUUCAACACAGGUUCCCUGAAUACUACAUCCAAAAUUAGCUGCUCUGAGACUCUUGAUCUUUUUUAUUUUCUCUUAAAGCCAUGGCCACCACCAACACACGAGUGAGCUACGCUCAGAAGAAUGUGCUCAGCAUGCAGUUUUCACCUUCAUCAAUUAAGAAGUUACCACUGCUGAAAGCCAGGGAAAUGAGACUCUUUUGCUCAGAGAGUAUAAACAGUGAUCUUUAUAUCUGUGCCUUCAAACACUUCCCCAAGUAUUGCUGAAACCUUAUCCCAAUCCAGGCGGUCCAGUCCACACCCAAUUCUGAAAAAUAAAACAUCAAAAUAACUGUAAUGAGCUCUUUUGGAGAAUGCUAUGAAUAACAAGCCCUCAACUCACCAUCAAUCAAUAUAAUACAGGUAAAAUAUGGAAAUAACCAAACCUGAAUGUACUUUAUCACUUAAACCCACAGGGGAACACAAGCUUCCUUUACACAACAGACCAGAAGAGUUACGGUCAAGUUGAUAUUGAACUCUCAGAGUAGGAGAUCAUUUCUCAAAAACAUCCUCCUACCCAAGAAACACUGAAUUGUUUACACAGCACUAAUUUUCUUACUUGGGCAUGGAAAUGUCAGUAACUCCGUUGUUUAGACAGUGAGUUUUCAUGGCUUCUAAACUCUUUCGCAUGUCCUCAUAUGUUGGUUUGUGAGAAACUUUCUUCUUUGUAAUCAGGUAGUAAAUAUACCGGUCAUCUCUUUGGAGAACUGCCACCUCCCCGGUCUUCUUUUGUUGAUCUAACAGCUCUUGGACGCCUCCAAACUUUUUCUUAAAAAGAACAGCUAUGCCUGCACCCAUGCGACAGUCCUCACUGAUGCAAUGAGCCAACGCGUCCGUUGGGGGGCAGGAAAACAGGUCACCCUUAACACACUUGAUUUGCUCCCCCUGCUCCUGGACGUGGGUGGCCAUGGUAACGUGGGCUAUGGUGAAGGCUUCUGUGGCCGCGGGCACGACGUGAAGAACAGACUGCCGGGCCUGGGCCGGCACCGCUGCAAGCCUGGCAAGCCUGCCCAGCACAGCCCACAUCGCUCGGCCCACUCCGUCACCUCCACUACAGCACUCUCG
rnacentral:lncRNA from 1 species